UCUCACUCAGCGGGUAGCGUUCGUAAUUUAUUACUUACGUUUCCGUGUACUUUGUUGUCUGCUGGUUAGCAUCAAUUUUGAUUGUCAUAAAAAGGUUAAGGGGAUGUGGCUCCUUCGGGAGUGUUAUAACCCUUAACGGAAUGUGGCGAUUGGGAUUGAGGAUUGCAACGAAUACCUUUAGGGCAGUUCCGUCGGGUCUCUUGUUGAUGUUCAGAUAGCAAAAGCUUGCUUUUGUUGUUUGAAUCGUUAGCAAAUAGAUUGGAAAGUGAAUUAAUUCGUUAAGGAUGCUGACGUA
rnacentral:rRNA from 1 species